AUUGUGGGAGCGCGGCGCCAUAUUCGGGGUCUACGAAUCAAAACAGACACUGUGUUGGAACGACGACGACAAGAAUCAUGCUUAAAAGCAGCUCCAAAGAAAACGGACGGUAUAGAGACCGAUUGCGUCCAGAGGCGAAGCUGCGGUACUUGCAGAAAAUAGCGUGCAUUGGAAAUGUGGACCCGUUUGAAAUACGGCCAUGGAGUAGAAACCCUGAAUACCUACCGCUACUGAUGUAGCCUGACAUAUUUUCGUACCUUAUCUGUGGAGUCAGCGCGUACAAGUCGUCAUUCAAACAAAGGUCCUGCACUCUCAAAGACUGAAUGAACCAGCAUUGCAGCCAUGGGUCACUGUGAGCAUCACAGGGAAGGUUGAAGCCGCCCGCUGCAGCUGUAUGGCCGGAGUCUCGGAGACCUGCAGCCAUGUCCCUGCUCUUCUGUUUAAUGUAGAAGCAA